GGGAGAACAGGAGUAAUCAGACGUUUGCGCCGGGGCUGGUACCGUACAAGGCUGUCAGUAGAGAGGAGACCCUGAAAUACAGACACUGCAGAGGAUACAUCAGGUACAGAAAACUGGAGAGAAGACUGAAGUACAGACAACUGCAGAGGAGACAGAGGUACAGACAACUGCGGAGGAGACAGAGAUACAGACAACUGGAGAGGAGACUGAAGUACAGACAACUGGAGAGGAGACAGAAGUACAGACAAAUGGAGAGAGUCGACGGAGCCUUUCCCUGCCAGACGCACGCCACAGACGGGGGGAGUGUGAAUAGACGGGACGUGAUGUGGAAGACUAGCACAGCUCAUCAGUCCAUAGCUACCAGACAUCGCUUAAUGACCGCUCCUCUGGUCUGAGAGCACCAGAGAGGCCAAGGAGGCUGUUGAGGAUGCAUGAAGGCUGCAUGUAGGCUGCAUGUAGGAUGCAUGUAGGCUGCAUGUAGGCUAUAUGUAGGAUGCAUGUAGGAUGCAUGCAUUCCCCUUCCGGGAAGACUUAAGUUCAAAUAGAAGCAUUUAACACAAAGGAAACCACUCCUUAAGACACAAAAG
ensembl:lncRNA